rnacentral:lncRNA from 1 species
ACCGUAUAAGUAAAUUAUAUAAACAUAAAAAUAGAAUAAAAUCAGUUCGUUUUUUUUACUUUUUAGUAAGGGAAUCUCACAUUUUUUUUUUUUUUUUUUCGUCCAAAAGUUUUAUUACUUAAGCCCAGUGGACAUGCAAAUACAGAAGAGUUAAACUAGAGGAUUACAGACGAGAUUUAAAAGGCCCAAACUAAACCAUAUUACAAAAUACAAAAGAUAAUAAAACUUUGAUGGUUUAGCAUAAGACACGUGGAGAUGAAGCACCUCCUCUAAGCCACGCAUCAAAUUGAAGCAGUUCCACGUCUCCACCGUCUGUUCUUCUCAAGCAUCACCGGCAUUCGAUUAGCCACCACCAAAUAACCCGAAGAUGAUGAGAAUCCUCUUAUCUUCUGCCGAUCUCAAAUCCAAUCAAAGGAUACGUCGAAGUCUACCGGAUCAAGUAUAUUAAACUUCUUCAAAUUUUCUUCGAGUAUCAUCAACUCCGGGGAAGCUCCACCACCGAUUACAUCCAGAUUUUGAUGUAAUACUUUGCUUUGCUCUUAUGAAAUGAGCAAAAUAAAAGUGACGAAGAUAUUACUCCUCGAAUAGCUGAAGAAACAAAGAAAAUUUGGAAGUGAUUAUCGGAGAAAUCAACGGGAAAAUAACAUAACUGGAUGAGAGAUCUUAUCUCGGUAAAACGAGAAAUAAAACCGGACUUAGCCGGUACAAAGAUCCGGAUCUUAGCCGGAAAUUAUAUUAUAUGACAAAAUUCCGGUGUACUGGAAAUCUCUUUCUCUCUCUGAAAAAUAGAGGUGUGAUAAGAGAGAGAAUGAACUAUUUCAAAUGAGCAGAGUCCAAGGGAAUCUCACAUUUACAUGUAUGGUUUAUCAUCAAUUAAUUUACAUAUAAAUAUUACCUGAAGAUUUUAUUCUCAAAGUUACCAACUUAUUACUUACUAGUUACCA